rnacentral:rRNA from 1 species
AUGAAGUCGGCUGUGUUAUCCGUCAUACAGCGGCAGCUCGCAGAGCGGUGUCUCCGAAACUUUGUCUGCAUUCAUCCACCCUGCACGGGGCGGCCUAGAGUUUUCGUGGCAGCAUCCACGCGACUCCUCGAUCUUCGACGUCCAUUAGUAGUACUGGUCCGGCAAGCUCUAUUGACAUGUAUUAGCGGUUUACCACACAGAGUCCUUUUCGAUUGUAAUGUGUUCCACAAGUACACUGAGUGCAUCUCAUCAUCUUCAUGCAAUUUUGUCCAUUGUGUUUCUUUUUUUAGACUAGAAUGGUACACAAUACUCGUGCUCAUCAUUGCAGGCUUGCAUGGAAUCAAGCAAACUCACAAUUUAAGCAGGGCACAUCCAUUAUUUUAG